rnacentral:rRNA from 1 species
GACGAACGCUGGCGGCGUGCCUAAUACAUGCCAGUCGAACGCUGAAGGAGGAGCUUGCUUCUCUGGAUGAGUUGCGAACGGGUGAGUAACGCGUAGGUAACCUGCCUGGUAGCGGGGGAUAACUAUUGGAAACGAUAGCUAAUACCGCAUAAUAGUAGAUGUUGCAUGACAUUUGCUUAAAAGGUGCAAUUGCAUCACUACCAGAUGGACCUGCGUUGUAUUAGCUAGUUGGUGGGGUAACGGCUCACCAAGGCGACGAUACAUAGCCGACCUGAGAGGGUGAUCGGCCACACUGGGACUGAGACACGGCCCAGACGCCUACGGGAGGCAGCAGUAGGGAAUCUUCGGCAAUGGACGGAAGUCUGACCGAGCAACGCCGCGUGAGUGAAGAAGGGUGUCGGAUCGUAAAGCUCUGUUGUAAGAGAAGAACGAGGGUGAGAGUGGAAAGUUCACACUGUGACGGUAGCUUACCAGAAAGGGACGGCUAACUACGUG